rnacentral:rRNA from 1 species
UACGUAGGUGGCAAGCGUUAUCCGGAUUUAUUGGGCGUAAAGGGAACGCAGGCGGUCUUUUAAGUCUGAUGUGAAAGCCUUCGGCUUAACCGGAGUAGUGCAUUGGAAACUGGGAGACUUGAGUGCAGAAGAGGAGAGUAGAACUCCAUGUGUAGCGGUGAAAUGCGUAGAUAUAUGGAAGAACACCAGUGGCGAAAGCGGCUCUCUGGUCUGUAACUGACGCUGAAGUUCGAAAGCGUGGGUAGCAAACAGG